rnacentral:rRNA from 1 species
UACGAAGGGGGCUAGCGUUGUUCGGAAUCACUGGGCGUAAAGGGCGCGUAGGCGGCUUUAUAAGUCGGGGGUGAAAGCCUGUGGCUCAACCACAGAAUUGCCUUCGAUACUGUAGAGCUUGAGACCGGAAGAGGUAAGUGGAACUGCGAGUGUAGAGGUGAAAUUCGUAGAUAUUCGCAAGAACACCAGUGGCGAAGGCGGCUUACUGGUCCGGUUCUGACGCUGAGGCGGCGAAAGCGGUGGGGAGCAAACAGG